AAAUCUAUUGCAUACUUGAGGGUUAGGUUUUUUUCGUUAUGGAUUUUUUUGAUUCGGUCGCCGCGUUCAAAGCCCGCGAUAGAAGCUAUGCAAUAAGUAAAUAAUU